rnacentral:rRNA from 1 species
GAUGAACGCUGGCGGCGUGCCUAAUACAUGCAAGUCGAGCGGCCGGACGAGUAGUUUGCCUUUCUGACGUUUGCGGCGGAGGGGUGUGUUACAUGUGGAUAAGUUCCGUAUAAGACUGGGAUAAGUCGGGAGAACGGUUGCUACCACAGGAGAAUUUUUUGAAACACCGGGUUCACAUGUGACAGAGGGCUUUGCUGUUGGCUAUAGACGGAUCAGCGGUGGAUUAGCUAGUUGGUGGGGUAAAGGCCUACCAAGGCGACGAUCAGUAGCUGGGCUGAGAGGAAGACCAGCCACACUGGGACUGAGACACGGCCCAGACUCCUACGGGAGGCAGCAGUGGGGAAUUUUGGACAAUGGGCGAAAGCCUGAUCCAGCAAUGCCGCGUGUGUGAAGAAGGCCCUCGGGUUGUAAAGCACUUUUGUCCGGAAAGAAAUCCUUGGCCCUAAUACGGUCGGGGGAUGACGGUACCGGAAGAAUAAGCACCGGCUAACUACGUG